AUUGAACGCUGGCGGCAGGCCUAACACAUGCAAGUCGAGCGGAUGAAGGGAGCUUGCUCCUGGAUUCAGCUGCGGACGGGUGAGUAAUGCCUAGGAAUCUGCCUUGUCGUGGGGAUAACGUCCGGAAACGGGCGCUAAUACCGCAUACGUCCUGUGUGAGAAAGUGGAGGAUCCUCGGACCUCACGCUAUCAUAUGAGCCUAGGUCGGAUUAGCUAGUUGGUGGGGUAAAGGCCUACCAAGGCCACGAUCCGUAACUGGUCUGAGAGGAUGAUCAGUCACACUGGAACUGAGACACGGUCCAGACUCCUACGGGAGGCAGCAGUGGGGAAUAUUGGACAAUGGGCGAAAGCCUGAUCCAGCCAUGCCGCGUGUGUGAAGAAGGUCUUCGGAUUGUAAAGCUCUGUAAGUUGGGAGGAAGGGAAGUAAGUUAAUACCUGGCUGUUUUGACGUUACCAACAGAAUAAGCACCGGCUAACUUCGUG
rnacentral:rRNA from 1 species